rnacentral:lncRNA from 1 species
CUUUGACAAAGAAGGAGCUAAUCACAGUUGCCAAGGAAGUUGCGCUGGAUCUUUGCAGUCACUGUCUAUUUGGUAAGCAACAUAGAGUCUCCUUCAAUUUCUCUUCUACGAGACGAUCAGAGUUGCUCAAUCUAGUACACUCUGAUGUUUGUGGUCCCUUGGAGGUUGAAUCACUAGGCGGUAACAAGUAUUUUUUAACAUUCAUUGAUGACGCUUCUCGAAAGGUGUGGGUAUAUUUCUUGAAGACAAAGGACCAAGUAUUGGAUUACUUCAAAUCAUUUCAUGCCAUGGUAGAGUGUGAAAUAGGAAAGAAGUUGAAAUGUCUCCGCACAGAUAAUGGAGGCGAGUAUACUUCCAAAGAGUUUGAUGCCUAUUGUAAGACAUAUGGCAUUCGACAUGAGAAGAUGGUCCCACAUACCCCACAACAUAAUGGAGUCGCCGAGAGGAUGAAUCGGACGAUCAUGGAAAAGGUCAGAAGCAUGAUAAGUAUGGCUAAGCUGCCAAAGCCAUUUUGGGGAGAAACUGUUCGAACCGCCUGCUACUUGAUCAACAGAUCACCAUCUGUACCAUUGAAUUUUGAAAUUUCGCAGAAAGUAUGGUCUGGUAAAUAUCCCUCCUACUCUCACCUGAGAGUAUUUGGCUGUUUAGCCUUUGCACAUGUAUCCAAGGAGCUAAGACAAAAGCUAGAUGCAAGGACCACUCCAUGCAUCUUUAUAGGCUAUGGAGAUGAGGAAUUUGGAUACAGAUUAUGGGACCCAAAGAUAAAGAAGGUCAUCAGAAGCAGGGACGUAGUGUUCCAUGAAAACCAAACAUUAGAAGACAUUGAAAAGCCCACAGUAUCUCCUAAUUCUAAUUUUGGUGCCCAAAAUAUUGCUCCAGAUCCAACACCAACACAAUUCACUAUAGAUAACGACGAUGUGCAUGAGGAAAUGCCGAAAGCAGAACAGGAGGAUGAAGAAGG